rnacentral:pre_miRNA from 1 species
AGAAUCCAUAUAGGUUUUUACUCAUGCACCAUGGUUGUCUGAGCACAUAACAUGCUUGUCUGCUCAUAUCCUAUGGUUCCUGAAUGUACAAACACAUCUUAACUGUCUACUGC